AAUUUGAUGCCAUCGGCCGUAUGCUGAAUUUCUGUGGGCUUGGGGCCGGAACACGGUCAGCGUGGCAGGUGAACACAGGGCUUCCCCGGGAGUAGAGUUUCCGUAUCCUCCGCGAGAAAAAGAGAUAACUUUGCUUAUGGAAACAUGUGCAAGAUGUUAUACAUUAUGUUAUGGAUGCGUUACAUGUUUUACAUAAAUGCUCUUAAAAUGAGGUGGAAAGAGAUGUGGAAAUGGACAGUGAGGAGCUCUGAAAAUCAGGGCUGGGUUGCUCUGGUGAGUUUUGUGAUGUAGAUACGUGACUCAGAGAAGAAAAAGCGGUAAACGGAAAUGUUCUGGACAUCAGCCAGCGCCUUGUUACGGCGCCGCGCAAGAAAUUGUUUGCCCAGAGAAGAGGGGUUGUUCUCGCAGGAGCAGUGCGGCGGGUGGCGGGAGCACAGGAGGGAGAACAGGGAAUCGCCAGUCCGGAGGGCAGAAGGAGCCGUGCUCUUGGCCUUCAGACCAGGAUAUCCUGAUAUCUUGUACCGAGAGAUAUUUUGAUCUCUUGGUCUAAAUUUUUGCUGUUUUUUGAUAUGUUCAUUGAUUUAUUUUUUUUUUUCCCGACCCACCAUUCUCAAACGUACGAAUGGAAUUUGCAGGUAGCAACGGAACGGGGAGGCGCUUGGUAAAGCCCGUGAAGGUUUGGAGGCAGGAACGGCGGUUACCGGUGGUACGGACGUGGCGUGAGCUGGGUGCUGGGUCACUUCAAGCAAACUAAAGGGAAGUUGGGGACAUUUCCAGUCCCAUGAAAAGGUGGGGGCCAGCAGUGCUUCUGUUGAAAACGGGCAGGGGUCGGUGCGAUGCGGGUCCCGGUGUGCCGUGCCGUGCCCUGCGCAGAGGCGGCCGACGUCCGGCGCCCGCGGGACGGAGAGUUGAGCGGCUGCCAUCUAUCUCUGCUCCGGCUGCGCUGACAAGCUGGAGCCUGAAUAGCAAAAUUCCCGGCGCGAGCGAGACGGAGCUGGGAUCUGCUUUCACUUGAAGCGCCUACUUCAUGCUGACCGUUUCUCAGCUGUUUGCCUGCAGAAUUUCUCCAUGGUGAUGAAAAGGUUUUGAAGAUCGGCAGGGUCCCACCCUUAGAGGCUUGUUGCCAUUUUCGGCGAAAAGAGGGGCAGAUUUGACUCUAUCCUUGUCAGACAGACGCGGCCCCCGGCCCUGCCCCAGCCGUUGCUCCCCACGCGUCCUUUCAGGUGCAGGGGGACGUAUCGCAGCGGGACGAGGGAGAGCUCUGCAAGUCAUCUCGGAGGAACCCAAAAGCCGAUGCCAACCUCGCAGCCUUCGUCGGAGGAGCACCUCGGCAGCCGGAGCCUUCCCGGGGCGGGGUGCGGCCGGAGCCGAGCGAGGAGCACGCGGCGUCUCCGGCAGCGGCAUCUCCGGCAGCGGGCGGCUCCCCAGCGCGUGCAAAGCAGGAGCGCGAGACGAGGCGCAGGCGGCCAGGGGUGGCUGAACCCCCACUCCCCCCCCGAAGCCACGACCUGGGGCCCCGUCCCGGCUGCGGGCGGUAGCGCAGAGCGAGGGGGUGCAGGACGGCGGUGCGGCUGGCGGUGAGUUGGCGGGGCGGGGGGUCUGCCACCCCCUCUGUGCUUGUCCCCCCACCGCGUGCCGGGACGGGGCCCUUCGGCUCAGCCCAUUGCGGGGGGGGUCUGGGGUGGGGGGGGGGUGUUUUGCUCUCUCGGCUCUGGAAGCACUGGGUGCACCCCCCCAGUCCCGGCCGCGGGCCCUCCCUGGCGCGUCCGCGGCGGCACCGCUUGACCUUACAGCGUUAAAAUCAUUAAGAAAAAAACCCCGAUAUUUAUAUAUAUAUAUAUAUAUAUUAAUGUCCCCAAACCCAGUGACAACAGUGGCUUCUUGCUCUGAAACAGGGGUGUCCCCUUGCCGCAGGGAUCACCCGGGCACUGUGGCCGUGACAGCUGUGGGGACGCUGUGGUGACAGUGAUAGAGAUGGGGCGGGGGGGGGGGGGGAAGUGUGUGGGUUGUUUGUCCAGCUCCCCCCCCCCACCCCCCGUGCCCGUGGUGGCCCCACGUCCCCCAGCCCGUCACCGAUACCUCACCUGAUGAGCCACCACCAAAGCCCAGCCUGGGGACAUCCAGGCACCCCACGUCCCGCUGUCACCUCACCUCCCGACACCCUGGCAUGGUGGCACCCUGUCCCCUGUCUGGUGCCACCACAGCCAAGGCUGGGCUGUCACACGAGGCUGGGGGCCACCACGCGCCUCGGCCAUGGCUGGGCUUGGGGACACCCUUGGUCACCUUCUGCCUCCAUGGCAAAGGGGCCUGGCGUAGGCAGGGACAGCGGGCGAGGGAGAGCGCAGAGGGGACCCCCCCCACGCCGCUGUGGGCAUGGGGUGCCAUCCCCUGUUGCCCCCCCGCUGAGUGUCACCAGGGGUGUCCCCCCCUCCCACCGCUGAGUCUCACCAGUGGCUGAAGCGACCGGUGUGGGCCCCCGGUGCUCCGUGGCCCUGCGGAGCCACCCCAUGCAGGGUGACGUGGGGACGGGGGUGACACAUCCCGCCCGCCUGCCAUGGGGCUGGGGGACACCCAGCAGGUGCUGUGACCAGCCCGCCAUGGGGCUGGGGUGACAUGUGCCACCCACCCCAGCAGCCCCACGUGCCGCCAGCCUGGGGCUCACCCUGUACCCCAGCCCCCCAGGGUGGGCCCUGCUGUCACCUGCCCCCCCACCAGCCCCACUGCCACCACUUUGGGGUUCACCUGCCCGAGCUGGGGGGGGGGACGUGGGGGCCCCAUGGCUGGGUGGGCGCAGCCAUGACGUUUGAGGGGACAUACCCCGCCGUGGGGGGGGGCUGAUGGGCUGGUUUGGGCGGGGGGACAGGGGACACCUGGGGGUGCAGACCUGGCCCCUCCCAUGGACCCCAUCCCAGUCCUGGCAUCUGGGGUAGGGGGGGGGACACAACUCCCAGGCCCUGCACUUUGAGGCGGGGGGGGUGGGGGGUGGGGGUGGGGUUACUGGCCUGGUACUGGGGUACACUGGCCUGCCAUUUGGGGGACCCAGGCCCCAAAGCUGUAAGAUGCUGGCGAGGGGGGUGCAGGGGGGGCAGAGGAGAGGAGGGGGGGCUGGGGGGGGGCUGUCCCCCGCAGGUACAUUCAUCCCGGUGCUGGGGGUGCCGCCAGCCCCGGGGUGGGGGCCCGGGGGCCCAUACAUUCGUGGCAGCACGGUGGGGGGGUCGGGGGGGGGUCGGGAUGGUCCCGGGUGCCCCCCCGGCUCUCCUCCUUGGCCGGACUCUUGGCGGCGGCAGCGGCGCCCCGUUUAAUUGCUGUUAAUGAGGCGCUGGGGAGUGUGUGUGUGGGGGGGGGAGGCGUGGAGCGAAGCGGCCCCACUCAGGCCCCCCCG